rnacentral:misc_RNA from 1 species
AGAAAUGGAUAAACAUAAUCCACAUCUGGAGCUGACUCUUAGUACACGGAAAAAUAUAUCGUCAGUACUGGAACACCUAAAUCGGAAGUGGGGCAAUUCAAGUAUAGCAUCAGGAGAGUUAAUGCUUUUCCCUUACAGUGCUCUUAGAGAAAAUCUUGUUGGUAAUCAGAGAUGGACUCAAGACUCCAUUGUCAGUGCAUUAGAUGUAUACACUUCAAUUGGAAGCCCUUCAGUGUUCCGCUUAAGGUUUAUUCUAAUUUUCUUUUGAACUUU